rnacentral:misc_RNA from 1 species
AAGUCGUAACAAGGUUUCCGUAGGUGAACCUGCGGAAGGAUCAUUAUUGAAUUUGAAAGGAGUUGUAGCUGGCCUUCCGAGGCAUGUGCACGCUCUGCUCAAUCCACUUACACCUGUGCACCUUUGAAGGUUGUUGUCUCCCUCUUAACGGAGGAGCAGCGGGUAACACUGCUGAGACUUCGCCUUUCUUACACAAACUCUAAAGUUAAUGAAUGUCAUACUUGCUUAACGCAAUUAAAUACAACUUUCAACAACGGAUCUCUUGGCUCUC